rnacentral:piRNA from 1 species
UUGAGCAUUGAACAGUCUACA